rnacentral:misc_RNA from 1 species
GCCUCAUAUUCUGGACCUUGGUAGAAACAUCUUUCCAGGUCCACUGCCAUGGAUACGCCAAAGAAUCUUGAACAUGGUGCACAGAAUUAACAUAAUUCGCAAUUGGCCUAAACUUUUUCUCACGGGUUUUCAUCUUAGCUAGAGUUCCAUCAGAUACCAUUUCUCCAUACUUAUCAAUCAAAGUCCUCUCCUCAACUUCGGUCCAUUUCUUUCGCUUCGGGGGAAUCAUCACACCAAAUUAACUCACAAUAUACCACUCAAACAGAAUAAAAAG